rnacentral:rRNA from 1 species
UACGUAGGGCGCAAGCGUUGUUCCGGAAUUAUUGGGCGUAAAGAGCUCGUAGGCGGUCUGUCGCGUCUGCUGUGAAAACGCGAGGCUCAACCUCGCGCCUGCAGUGGGUACGGGCAGACUAGAGUGCGGUAGGGGAGAUUGGAAUUCCUGGUGUAGCGGUGGAAUGCGCAGAUAUCAGGAGGAACACCGGUGGCGAAGGCGGGUCUCUGGGCCGAUAUGACGCUGAGGAGCGAAAGCAUGGGGAGCGAACAGG